CAAAAUUUUUUAAAUCAAUACAAUAGCUGACUGGAAGCCAGUCCAGAGAUGACAGAACAGGUGUGAUGUGUUCACUGCGCCUGGUACCUGUCAGCAAGCAAGCAGCAGAAUUUUGCACAAGCUGUAAGCGGCUAAGGGAGGAUUGGUCUACUCCACAGUACAGCGAGUUGCAGUAAUCGAGUCAUGACGUGAUAAAUGUGUGGACAACAUGCUC